UACGUAGGGUGCAAGCGUUAAUCGGAAUUACUGGGCGUAAAGCGUGCGCAGGCGGUUUUGUAAGACUGUUGUGAAAUCCCCGGGCUUAACCUGGGAAUGGCGAUGGUGACUGCAAGGCUAGAGUUUGGCAGAGGGGGGUAGAAUUCCACGUGUAGCAGUGAAAUGCGUAGAGAUGUGGAGGAACACCGAUGGCGAAGGCAGCCCCCUGGGUCAAGACUGACGCUCAUGCACGAAAGCGUGGGGAGCAAACAGG
rnacentral:rRNA from 1 species